GGUUUUGAGUGCGGUUUUCUCUCCUUGCUUGGCAACUCUCUGAGUAAACUGCAAAUCUCUCUGCCACAAGUCUUGUCAUCUCAAGAGUUUGGCUUGCUGUAAGAUGAACAAGAAGAACCUGGCAGAGGACAUAUUGGAAGAUGAGGCUCUAGAAGGACGCUACUAGAAACCCUACAUUGCAUGGCCAAUUGGAAGAGAAGGACUUGCAGAGAGGAUAGAAAAGAAGCAGGGUGAGGCUACGAGAAGUCAUCCACCUGAAGCCAGCAAGAGAGCUCACACCAGCAGCAGACCGCGUGGCACCCAAUCCUCAACUCCCAGCCUCCAGAACUGUGUAAGACAGUACUUUCUGGUGUUUAUAGGCUACAUAGUUUAUGGAAUUUUAGUUGUAGCAGCCUGAACAGAGUAAGAGAAGUAAGUUUCUUGUGAACUUGAGUAAACAAAAUUUAAAAUACAUGAAGUCCCCAUAUAAGUAGUUCAAAAAGCACUUGUAUAGGCAAGAAAGAGUAGACAUACUUUUGACCUGUUCCUCCCUUGAGUACAGUUAAAAUACUGGCCAUUAUGUAUAACAUGACACAAGCAGACUGAAAGGUGGAGAGAAGAAGAUAAACUGACUGGGUUCCUGGGACCCAAGGAGCAGGAGCGGCAUGGUGAUGGGCUUCUCAGGUUUUGUCUUUACACUCACAUAUCAUAGACGCAGCAGCUGCUGGAGAAAUCAGCUGAGUAGCAAACAUCAAUGGGUAAAAACAAAGAAACAAACAAAACCAAGGGGAAAAACAUACUUUAUUUAAGCCAAAAGACAAGGCUUAAAGGACAAAAGAAUACCUAUAUAGUAACAGCCAUACACUACACAUACACCAAGUCCAAACACUCUUCCCUAGCCUAGAUUCCUCCCUGGUGAUGCUGCUAUGAGAUGCUCAUCCCACACCCUCCCCCAGGUGGUAUCUGAAAAGAUGAAGGAGGCUCUCUCCACCAGGUGAUGUGGGACACCACUUCCUUGCUCAAAGUGUUAUUACUAAAGGGUAGAAGUAAGGUACAUGGGUGUUAAAAAAAAAUCCAAUUAAUGCUAGUUUUGAAUGCUUAUAAAUGUCUUUUGAUGAAAUGUGUUUAAGUAUAGAAGUCAAAAGAACUCAUAUUUCUUCCUAAGGAUUCUACACCGUUGUACACAAACCUUUUAAAAUUGCACUUUAAAAAUCAAUACAUUAUUUAUAUUAGGUAAGGAUAUUGUAGAGAAUAUAUAAACACACAUAAGUAUCUCUGCACACAUGGAUAUGCAUAUAAGACUAAUGAACUUAACUAUUAAAGAUAGAUCAGAUACUUGUGGCUUUGGAUAUAUUUUCAAAGGAUAGUGUAAUUAAUGGAUGUAAAAACCUUUGUGUAUCAAAUAUUUCUCAUAGAGGAAAACAUGUACUUUGUAAAACUAUUUUGAUUGUUGAAAAGUGGUUCAUGCAAUGAUGAAGAAACUGAUGGAGAAGAUGAAUGUUAAGAGAAUCAAUAUGUGUUUUUCAUAAAUUGUGAUAGUGGUUAAAAGUUAUAUAACAAGGGAGUUCCCUGGUGGCCUAGUGGUUAAGGAUCUGGUGUUGUCACUGCUGUGGCACAGGUUCAUUCCCUGACCUGAAAUUCCCAUGUGCUGAGGGCAUGGACAAAAAAAAAAUUGUAUGACAAACAAUAGAUGACACUUGCUAUUAUGUGAUAAUAAUAGCCAGGCUUUUCCCCCCCUAAAAUAUAUUUCCCAUACUGGAAGUUACUCUAUUCCCCUAAUUAUACCUUGUUCAUUUUUCCAUAUCCAAUGUAUACAUUAAGAGCCUGGUUUGUAUUUUCAGUGAGUGAA